rnacentral:rRNA from 1 species
GGUGCGUAACACGUAUGCAACCUACCUUUAACCGGGACACAACCCUCCGAAAGGGGGGCUAAUAUUCCAUGUGAUUAUUUUGUGGCAUCAUAAGAUAAUUAAAGAUUCAUUGGUUAAAGAUGGGCAUGCGUCCCAUUAGCUAGUUGGUGAGGUAACGGCCCACCAAGGCUAUGAUGGGUAGGGGUUCUGAGAGGAUAUACCCCCACACUGGUACUGAGACACAGACCAGACUCCUACGGGAGGCAGCAGUAAGGAAUAUUGGUCAAUGGGCGGAAGCCUGAACCAGCCAUGCCGCGUGCAGGAAGACGGCCCUAUGGGUUGUAAACUGCUUUUGUCAGGGGAUAAACCUAUCCACGCGUUGGAUAGCUGAAGGUACCUGAAGAAUAAGGAUCGGCUAACUCCGUGCCAGCAGCCGCGGUAAUACGGAGGAUCCGAGCGUUAUCCGGAUUUAUUGGGUUUAAAGGGUGCGCAGGCGGACUGGUAAGUCAGGGGUGAAAUUCUACGGCUCAGCUGUAGGCGUGCCUUUGAUACUGCCGGACUAGAGUUAAGUUGGAGUGGGCGGAAUGUGUUGUGUAGCGGUGAAAUGCUUAGAUAUAACACAGAACACCGAUCGCGAAGGCAGCUCACUAAACUUAGACUGACGCUCAUGCACGAAAGCGUGGGGAUCAAACAGGAUUAGAUACCCUGGUAGUCCACGCUGUAAACGAUGAUCACUCGCUGUUGGCGAUAUACAGUCAGUGGCUAAGCGAAAGUGAUAAGUGAUCCCACCUGGGGAGUACGACCGCAAGGUU